CUGACCGUAAACGAUGCCAACUAGCGAUUCGCCGGUGGAUUAUUUGCCCUGGCGAGGAGCUUCCCGGAAACGAAAGUCUUCCGGUUCCGGGGGAAGUAUGGUUGCAAAGCUGAAACUUAAAGGAAUUGACGGAAGGGCACCACCAGGAGUGGAGCCUGCGGCUUAAUUUGACUCAACACGGGGAAACUCACCCGGCCCGGACACUAUAAGGAUUGACAGAUUGAUAGCUCUUUCAUGAUUUGGUGGAUGGUGGUGCAUGGCCGUUCUUAGUUCGUGGAGUGAUUUGUCUGGUUUAUUCCGAUAACGAGCGAGACUCUAGCCUACUAAAUAGUUCGCCCAUUGUUUUGCUGUGUGGCGAUACUUCCUAGAGGAAUUUUCGGUGUUCAACCGCAUGAAACUGAGCAAUAACAGGUCUGUGAUGCCCUUAGAUGUUCGGGGCUGCACGCGCGCUACACUGGUAAAGUCAGCGUGCUUCUCCUCUCUCGAAAGAGAUUGGUAAACCAAUGAACGUUUGCCGUGAUUGGGAUCAGAAAUUGCAAUUAUUUUCUGUGAACGAGGAAUUCCAAGUAAGUGGAGUCAUCGACACGCGCU
rnacentral:rRNA from 1 species